rnacentral:rRNA from 1 species
AGCAGCCGCGGUAAUUCCAGCUCCAAUAGCGUAUAUUAAAGUUGUUGCAGUUAAAAAGCUCGUAGUUGAAUUUCGGGGUCAGCAGGUUGGUCGUGCCUCUGGUACGCACUGGUUUCGCUGAUUCCUCCUUUCUGAAGAACUGUAAUGUCAUUAAUUUGGUGUUGCAGGGAAACAGGACUGUUACUUUGAAAAAAAUUAGAGUGUUUAAAGCAAGCUAACGCUUGAAUACAUUAGCAUGGAAUAAUGAAAUAGGACGUUUGAUCCUAUUUUGUUGGUUUCUAGGAUUGACGUAAUGAUUAAUAGGGAUAGUUGGGGGCAUUAGUAUUCAAUUGUCAGAGGUGAAAUUCUUGGAUUUAUUGAAGACUAACUACUGCGAAAGCAUUUGCCAAGGAUGUUUUCAUUAAUCAAGAACGAAAGUUAGGGGAUCGAAGACGAUCAGAUACCGUCGUA